rnacentral:rRNA from 1 species
GUCUAAAGCCAUACCACCCUGAAUCACCUGAUCUUGUCUGAUCUAGAAGCAAAACAAGGUCAGGCCUGGUUAGUACUUGAAUCAGUGAAAUGCAAUAGAUU